AACAGUUAGAAAUGACUGCUAAUACCGCAUAAGACCGCAGUGCCGCAUGGUACAGCGGUAAAAACUCCGGUGGUGUAAGAUGGGCCCGCGUCUGAUUAGGUAGUUGGUGGGGUAACGGCCUACCAAGCCGACGAUCAGUAGCCGACCUGAGAGGGUGACCGGCCACAUUGGGACUGAGACACGGCCCAGACUCCUACGGGAGGCAGCAGUGGGGAAUAUUGCACANUGGGGGAAACCCUGAUGCAGCGACGCCGCGUGAGCGAUGAAGUAUUUCGGUAUGUAAAGCUCUAUCAGCAGGGAAGAAAAUGACGGUACCUGACUAAGAAGCCCCGGCUAACUACGUGCCAGCAGCCGCGGUAAUACGUAGGGGGCAAGCGUUAUCCGGAUUUACUGGGUGUAAAGGGAGCGUAGACGGCUGUGCAAGCCAGAUGUGAAAGCCCGGGGCUCAACCCCGGGACUGCAUUUGGAACUGCGUGGCUUGAGUGUCGGAGAGGCAGGCGGAAUUCCUAGUGUAGCGGUGAAAUGCGUAGAUAUUAGGAGGAACACCAGUGGCGAAGGCGGCCUGCUGGACGAUGACUGACGUUGAGGCUCGAAAGCGUGGGGGAGCAAACAGGAUUAGAUACCCUGGUAGU
rnacentral:rRNA from 1 species